rnacentral:rRNA from 1 species
CUUACCGGGUCCGGACACACUGAGGAUUGACAGGUAUUAUAUAAUUGCUCUUCGGAGCUUUUAUUGUUAAAUAUGCUAGUCCUUUCAUGAUUAUGUGAUAGGUGGUGCAUGGCCGUUCUUAGUUCGUGGAGUGAUCUGUCUGCUUAAUUGCGUUUCACUAUAGGUCCUAUAUUCUUAAAAUGUGUGCAGUGCAUUGACCCCUUGUUUUUAACAAGCGCGUGUCUUUGUGCUCACACUUUCAUUAGGUCCUGAAAGCAACGAACGUGACCGCAACCUCUUGUUGCCUCAUUUCAAACGCGUACAUACACUGGUUUUCUAAGUAUUACGCUUAUUGAGGCUUUUUUAAACUAGAGGGACCGCUGUCAACUUCUUAAACCAGAGGAAGGUUGCGGCAAUAACAGGUCUGUGAUGCCCUUAGAUGUUCCGGGCUGCACACGUGCUACAAUGAUUGUUGCAGUGAGCAUCUCAAUUUUUUACCUAACACCGCAUACGUGAGUUAAACUUUAGCUUUCGGGUUAUUGUUGUACUUUACGCAGCGGUAAAGCCUGCUUCGAGAGCAAGUGGGUAAUCAAUUAGAAGUAACGAUUUCCCUUUUUAGCACACUUAUAUACGGCGUUUAUGCCCGGGUUUCACUUGUUGGAGCUUUUGUGCGUGUAGAUGUUUUUUCCGUAUGUGCGAUUGUCAAUUCAUGGUGGGGACAGACCAUUGUUAAUUGUUGGUCUCGUUCUAACUAGGAAUGCCUUGUACGGGUCUUUGGUUCAACAAACCACCCGGAAUACGUCCCUGCCCUUUGUACACACCGCCCGUCGCUCUUACCGAUGGACUUCUCUGUGAGUUUGAGGGACUGGGUUGAUGCUUCGGCGUUAGCCUAUGGAAACUUAAACGAACAGUGUGGUCUAAAGGAAAGAGAAGUCGU